GAUGAACGCUGGCGGCGUGCCUAAUACAUGCAAGUCGAGCGAACAGACGAGGAGCUUGCUCCUCUGACGUUAGCGGCGGACGGGUGAGUAACACGUGGAUAACCUACCUAUAAGACUGGGAUAACUUCGGGAAACCGGAGCUAAUACCGGAUAAUAUAUUGAACCGCAUGGUUCAAUAGUGAAAGACGGUUUUGCUGUCACUUAUAGAUGGAUCCGCGCCGCAUUAGCUAGUUGGUAAGGUAACGGCUUACCAAGGCAACGAUGCGUAGCCGACCUGAGAGGGUGAUCGGCCACACUGGAACUGGGACACGGUCCAGACUCCUACGGGAGGCAGCAGAAGGGAAUCUUCUGCAAUAGGCGAAAGCUUGACGGAGCAACGCCGCGUGAGUGAUGAAGGUCUUCGGAUCGUAAAACUCUGUUAUUAGGGAAGAACAAAUGUGUAAGUAACUAUGCACGUCUUGACGGUACCUAAUCAGAAAGCCACGGCUAACUACGUG
rnacentral:rRNA from 1 species